CCCCCCCCCCCCCCCGAGUAAAAUACACAAAUGUAUAAUACCUUAAUUCAGGAGCACAGUCUGUCUUUACCGUAAAUAACUUCGAGAUUAUUAUGUAAGUUUACUUUGCUAAUCGAUGUUCCUGUAAUUCAGAUUUAAAUUUAUUUGUGAGACCCCCGUCACUAUUUAUAUUCACUCAAAGAAAGGGGUUCUCCGUUACUGGGAAAAUCCAAGGACGUAUUGUGUUAGUUAUACGUCCUUGGAAAAUCUUAUCUGAUUCAGGAUCAAUUUAUCGGUUACACUCCCCUAUCACCAGUGAUUCUUUGUGAACUGACAUUCUGAAAAAGGGCAAGAACAUUAAAGAUAAAGGGAAACUAUAAACAAAAGAAAUUAUCAACAAAAAUAGAUUUACAGACGUCAACAAAGCCUAAAUGGUCAGACAUCUUGGUUUUCAUGAUCAUCAUUCAACAGGUCCAUACUGAACAGCAAACUUAAAGUUGAUAUUUUUCUACAUAGUGUGACUUUUUUAUUAAUUUGAAAUGGAAUGUGUUUUUUUUCCUACAUAAGAAAGAGGAAAUUUCAACAUAAUGACUAUAAACAACAAGGAGUCAUAUCAUCAUGAUCAUAGAUGCUCAAGAACUUAAUCAUGUAAAUGCAACGACGUAAUUAUCAAUUGAAAGAAGGGAGGAAUGAAAAAAUAUAUUUAGUAUUUUGUUGUCCAAAUGAACUUGCUUUGUCCACUCAUUUAAAUCGCUCCAUCCAAUAAAGAUGUACGGAGGAAGAUUUUUGAAGAACAGAUUGCAAAAAUGUUAUGUCUAAGAAUUGUAGGAAUAUUCUAGUGGAUGAAAUAAUUUAUUUACUUUACUCUUAUAUAGUGGACUGAAUAAUUGUUCAUAGCAAGCUGAAACAAGAAAACUAAAACUUAACAGGA